CGGGGCUAAACCAUGCACCGAAGCUGCGGCAGCGACGCUUAUGCGUUGUUGGGUAGGGGAGCGUUCUGUAAGCCUGUGAAGGUGUACUGUGAGGUAUGCUGGAGGUAUCAGAAGUGCGAAUGCUGACAUAAGUAACGAUAAAGCGGGUGAAAAGCCCGCUCGCCGGAAGACCAAGGGUUCCUGUCCAACGUUAAUCGGGGCAGGGUGAGUCGACCCCUAAGGCGAGGCCGAAAGGCGUAGUCGAUGGGAAACAGGUUAAUAUUCCUGUACUUGGUGUUACUGCGAAGGGGGGACGGAGAAGGCUAUGUUGGCCGGGCGACGGUUGUCCCGGUUUAAGCGUGUAGGCUGGUUUUCCAGGCAAAUCCGGAAAAUCAAGGCCGAGGCGUGAUGACGAGGCACUACGGUGCUGAAGCAACAAAUGCCCUGCUUCCAGGAAAAGCCUCUAAGCAUCAGGUAACAUCAAAUCGUACCCCAAACCGACACAGGUGGUCAGGUAGAGAAUA
rnacentral:rRNA from 1 species